rnacentral:rRNA from 1 species
UGGGGAAUAUUGGACACUGGGGGGAACCCUGAUCCAGCCAUGCCGCGUGUGUGAAGAAGGUCUUCGGAUUGUAAAGCACUUUAAGUUGGGAGGAAGGGCAGUAAGCGAAUACCUUGCUGUUUUGACGUUACCGACAGAAUAAGCACCGGCUAACUCUGUGCCAGCAGCCGCGGUAAUACAGAGGGUGCAAGCGUUAAUCGGAAUUACUGGGCGUAAAGCGUGCGUAGGCGGCUAAUUGAGUCGGAUGUGAAAUCCCCGAGCUUAACUUGGGAAUUGCAUUCGAUACUGGUUAGCUAGAGUGUGGGAGAUGAUGGUAGAAUUCCAGGUGUAGCGGUGAAAUGCGUAGAGAUCUAGAGGAAUACCGAUGGCGAAGGCAGCCAUCUGGCCUAACACUGACGCUGAGGUACGAAAGCAUGGGGAGCAAACAGG